AGUAAGGUGCCUGAAUAAAGGACUAUUUUGAUAGAAUAGAUCAUGUAAUAUAUUACCCUUAUUA
rnacentral:tRNA from 1 species